AGCAGCCGCGGUAAUUCCAGCUCCAAUAGCGUAUAUUAAAGUUGUUGUGGUUAAAAAGCUCGUAGUUGAACCUUGGGCCUGGCUGGCCGGUCCGCCUCACCGCGUGUACUGGUCCGGCCGGGCCUUUCCCUCUGUGGAACCCCAUGCCCUUCACUGGGUGUGGCGGGGAAACAGGACUUUUACUUUGAAAAAAUUAGAGUGCUCCAGGCAGGCCUAUGCUCGAAUACAUUAGCAUGGAAUAAUAGAAUAGGACGUGUGGUUCUAUUUUGUUGGUUUCUAGGACCGCCGUAAUGAUUAAUAGGGACAGUCGGGGGCAUCAGUAUUCAAUUGUCAGAGGUGAAAUUCUUGGAUUUAUUGAAGACUAACUACUGCGAAAGCAUUUGCCAAGGAUGUUUUCAUUAAUCAAGAACGAAAGUUAGGGGAUCGAAGACGAUCAGAUACCGUCGUAGUCUUAACCAUAAACUAUGCCGACUAGGGAUCGGACGAUGUUAACUUUUCUUGACUCG
rnacentral:rRNA from 1 species